rnacentral:rRNA from 1 species
CCUACGGGAGGCAGCAGUAGGGAAUCUUUCACAAUGGGAGAAAGCCUGAUGGAGCAACGCCGCGUGCAGGAUGAAGGCCUUCGGGUUGUAAACUGCUUUUAUAAGCGAGAAAUAUGAGGGGAACUUAUGAAUAAGGAUCGGCUAACUACGUGCCAGCAGCCGAGGUCAUACGUAGGAUACGAGCAUUAUCCGGAGUGCCUGGGUGUUAAGAGUUUGGUAGGUGGCAUAAUAAGUAGCUGGUGAAAUCUGGUGGCUCAACCAUUCAGACUAUUAGCUAAACUGUUAAGCUCGAGACCGUUAGGGGUAACUGGAAUGUCUAGUGUAGGGGUGAAAUGCGUAGAUAUUAGGAAGAACACCGAUUGCGUAGGCAGGGUACUGGGACGGUUCUGACACUAAGGCACGAAAGCGUAGGGAGCAAACGGGAUUAGAUACCCCAGUAGUC